rfam:Triticum aestivum genome assembly, contig: Triticum_aestivum_CS42_TGACv1_scaffold_542543_6DS
CUGUUACUCCCUCCGAUCCAUAUUACUUGUCACUCAAAUGGAUGUAUCUAGCACUGAAAUACGACUAGAUACAUCCGUUUCAGUGACAAGUAAUAUGGAUUGGAGGGAGUACUAG